rnacentral:rRNA from 1 species
CCCUUAGAUGUUCUGGGCCGCACGCGUGCUACACUGAGUGGAUCAGCGGGUCAGGUUGCGCGAAAGUGUUUCCUAAUCUUGAAAUCCGCUCGUGAUGGGGAUUGACGGUUGCAAUUUUCCGUCAUGAACGAGGAAUACCUUGUAAGCGCGGGUCAUCAUCCCGCGCUGAAUACGUCCCUGCCCUUUGUACACACCGCCCGUCGCUCCUACCGAUUGAGCGGUCCGGUGAGGCUUUGGGAUCUGAGCGGAAAGAGCGUUUCGCUGUUUCUGCUCGGAAAACUCAGUCGAACCUUAUCAUUUAGAGGAAGGAGAAGUCGUAACA